GAAAAAACAUUUUUCCCCCUCUGCGAGCAUCACCAAAAGCUACUUAAAAAUUACUUGGUAUAAUAAUGAUUAUGCCAAUCCAACAAAAUGAAAGGGAGCUAUUUUUAACUUAUACAAUAGAUUGCAAUGGUUAGCUUUCUUUAAACUCAAAAAACAUGCAGAAGGGUAGGAAAACCAUGGCAAAGGGGGCACCUAGACUAUAGCAAAAGCGAAACACAUGCACAUAUUUAUGAGUUGAGGA
rnacentral:lncRNA from 1 species